ensembl:miRNA gmo-mir-737 gmo-mir-737
GUUUUUUUAGGUUUUGAUUUUUGUAUGCUGGAUGAGAAAAUCAAGACCUAAAGAAAAU